UUGGAGGGCAAGUCUGGUGCCAGCAGCCGCGGUAAUUCCAGCUCCAAUAGCGUAUAUUAAAGUUGUUGCAGUUAAAAAGCUCGUAGUUGAAUUUCGGGAUCAAAUAAUCGGUCGUGCCUCCGGUACGUACUGGUUUUAUUGGUUCCUCCCUUCUGACGAACCAUGAUGUCAUUAAUUUGAUGUGGUGGAGAAUCAGGACUGUUACCUUGAAAAAAUUAGAGUGUUUAAAGCAGGCUAACGCUUGAAUACAUUAGCAUGGAAUAAUGAAAUAGGACGUUCGACCCUAUUUUGUUGGUUUCUAGGAUCGACGUAAUGAUUAAUAGGGAUAGUUGGGGGCAUUAGUAUUCAAUUGUCAGAGGUGAGAUUCUUGGAUUUAUUGAAGACUAACUACUGCGAAAGCAUUUGCCAAGGAUGUUUUCAUUAAUCAAGAACGAAAGUUAGGGGAUCGAAGACGAUCAGAUACCGUCGUAGUCUUAACCAUAAACUAUGCCGACUAGGGAUCGGAUGAUGUUAAUUUUUUAAUGACUCAUUCGGCGCCUUACGGGAAAC
rnacentral:rRNA from 1 species